AGAGAUUGUGCCACUUCACUCCAGCCUGGGUGACAGGGUGAGACUCUUCCUCAAAAAAAAUAGUUGAAUAGAUGAUUUAUGAUAUAGUCAUAUAAUAAAUAAAUACUAUACAACAAUGAGAAUAAUUGACCUACAGCUAAACACAAAAAUAUUGACCAAUCUUGCAUUUACUCAAUCUUAUAUUUACGCAAUCUACUAUUGAGUAAAGGGCACUGGAUACUAAAAAAUACAUAUUUUAUGAUUUCAUUUAUAUAAAGUACCAAAACAGGAUAGUAAUCUUCAUGAGCUUAGGAGGUGGUGGUAGUCUCUGCUUGGGAGCAUGACAAGGGCUUCAUGGCAACUGUUAUAUUCUGAAUUUUCUUUCAGUGCUGGCAUUCUGGAUAUGUUUCAUUUGUGCAAAUACAUAGAGCUAUAUAUUUAUGAUGCCCACUUUUCUACAUGUGUAUUUAUGCUCCAAAGUAGUUUACUUAAGUCAUCUAACAAUAUCUAGAAAUAAGUCUAACAAAAUAUGCAAGGACUAUACACCAUGAACUAUGCAGUAUUUCUGAGAGAAUUAAAAGGGCUAAUAAAUGGUAGGACAUGUCAUGAUUAGGGAUUGGAAGACUGAUUAUUUUAUGAAUCUCAUUUCUCCACAAAUUUAUCUAUAGAUUGAAUGUAAUUGCAAGACUCAUACAUAGAACGAGUUGAUUUAUAGAAACUAUAGUGAAAGGAUAAUCUUUUCAAUAAACGGUGUUAGUAUCAUGGGAUUCUUGGGUUAUCACUUCACCAGCUGGAAACCUCUGUGGCCAGUGGAUCCUUUGCCUGAGUUUUUCUUGGGCUCACUGGGCUUGUUUCACCCCUUCAGUCUGGCAGGCUGCGCUUGGCUUACGCUACCCUCCUGGAUCCCGUGCCUGCCAAGAGUGAGCUGAGUGGGGAGGGGUGUGUGAAUGAGUGAGCAUGGGGCCCAGCCACUGCUCAUAGCCAGGCAUGCUGGCUGUGGCAGGGUGGGCAGCUCCAGGCACUGGCAUGGGCGCUGGCUCCCUGCGAGGCUGAAACUGGACCAGGCGAACCAUAAGCAGCUUCCAUGGCUGGCACCAGGGAAUGCGGUGGUGCCCAGAAGCUUGGAAUCACCAGAAAGUGUGAAGCCCCAAAGAGGUUAUCACAGCCCUGGUUUGGGGAACUUCUAGGUCUGGGAUCCCCAAAGGGCCACAGCUCUUCUCUCCUUCUCUCUUCUCUCCUUCUCUCUUCUCUCCUUCUCUCUUCUCUCCUUCUCUCUUCUCUCCUUCUCUCCUUCUCUCUUCUCUCCUUCUUGUUGCCCACAACAUGGUGAGCAAGGGGGGUGUUUCAGCCUUGUUUGUGUUACAGCUCUUUCAGCUCUGCCAUUUGGCAAGUCCCUAGUUUUUGUCCUGUGUCCAGGAAGAAUGAGGUACCUAGACAAGUGGAGGGUGAGCAAGAUAAAGACGAGCUUUUUUGAGCAGUAGAACAGCUCAGAGGAAACCCACAGUGGGUAGCUUCUCUCCUCAACUGGGAUGUCCUGAUGAGUGUUCAGCUCUCAGCAGAGAGGAGACCCUGGAGUAGGUAGCUCCUAUCUGCAGCUGGUAGUCCCAAUGUCUGCUCAGCUCUCAGCAGAGAGGAGAACCCAGAGGGGGUAGCUCCUCUCCACAGGCAGGUCAUUCUGUCAUCUCCUCAAGUCUGGCUGAGCCCAGGGUUUUUAUGGGCUUCAGCGGGGAGGAAGUGUGUGCUGAUUGGUCCAUGGGUGGCCAUGGGUGGGCCUGGAAAAGGCAACAUAAGUUCCCACUCUAGUCUGCAGGACUGGCAGCCCAGCUCCCAGGCUUCAGGCCUUCCCUGGCUUGAAGGUGGGGCUUCACCAAGGGCCUACCUGUUUCCACCCUGGAGCCUGUCUGCCUCCUGCUGCUGCUUAUGUAACCCAGGCUUUUACUGCUGAGGGGUGCCUAUAAGCCAGCAUUGAGCUGCCCUCAGCCCGGCCUCAGCCUCCCUCUGGUGCUCGGUGGUGCACAAAGUCUAGACGGGGACAAGGCAGCAGGGGCUAGUGUGUCAGGGCUGCCCUAAGUGUGUGCACACCUGGCCAGGUUGCAAUAGUACCUAGUCUUGGCCUCAAUUUUGCUCCAGAUCAGAGCAGGCACAGGAACAGAGAGAGGCCAGGAAACAGGAGCAGGCAUUUCCAAGCCUGCUGGGACAAGAGGGACUUCCUGGGCCCCUGGGAGUGCAGAGAUGCCUGGGUGUGCAGCUGCAGCUUGGGUGGCUGCAGCUGCGGCUUGGGUGGCUGCAGCUGCAGCUUGGGUGGCUGCAGCUAUGCCUGGAGCUCAUGCCUGCUCCCACUCCUCAAGAGCACAGGGAUGUCCAGGCUUGGAGCCAUGGCUGGGCAGCUGCAGCUGCGCCCAGGGAGCAUGAGGCUCCUGCCCUGCCAACUCAGGAGCGGGCUGGCCUUCCACCUGUUUCUGGCUCCCUCCGGCUCCAUGGAGCAUGCAACCCUGGCCACACCUCCCCAGUGAAGCCAGUGUCAUGGCAGCAGCCACUCUAGAUGGGCCAUGGCUGCCAUCAUUAGGGCUUUACUAUACACAUGUUAAAAAGUAAUUAAACGUGGUUUCUACCCUCCUGACAUUAAAAACUGAUCAAUUCCAGAUGGAUUAUAGAUAUAGUUGUGGAAGACAAAACAAUCAAACUUUUAGAAAAAAGUCAAAGACAUUAUUUUCAGGUUUUCCAAGUUGGGAAAUGUGAUACAAAACUAUUCAGUUUAAAUAAAAAAUCAAUACCUUUAACUAUUAAAAUUGAGGACUGCUAUUUAUCCAAAGAUACAAUGAAGAGACUGAAAGGCAAAGAUUAAAAAAAGACUAAAGAUUUAAAAAAUUAAAUAUGUAUACACACAUGAAUGGAAUAUGUGAAAAAGUCUCCAAGUAAAGAAAAAAGGACAAUUCACUAGAAAUAGAAGAAAAGUCUUAAACAGUCUCAUCCCAAAGAAGAUAUCCUAAUGAACAGUGGACAUGAACAGGGGCUCAACUUCGUUAAUUAUCUCUCAUUCUCAAGGAAAAGCAAAUUAGACUGUGAAUAAAAUCUCCAUGUACCCACUAGGAUGACUACAAUUCAAAAGGCUGACCUAUCCAGGUGAAGAUGAGAGUGUGCAGCAUUGGAAAUUCUUACACAUUGCUGGAGAUUUAGAAGCUAAAGAAAGAGGACAAAUGAUUUGGAAGCAAAGAUAAGAAGGAAGAAGGAGAUGGGGUCUCGCCAUGUUUCCCAGGCUGGUCUCAA
rnacentral:lncRNA from 1 species